ensembl:snRNA U2 U2 spliceosomal RNA
AUCGCUUCUCGGCCUUUUGGCUGAGAUCAAGUGUAGUAUCUGAACGUCGGCGCCCUCGUGAGGAGGCACGGCCUCUCGUCCCCUGCUCCUACACUCCUU